GCUCCGCGGGUAGGGGACCCACUGCGUGCACCCAGAACAUCUGCCAGCCCUGCGAGAUGCCCCGAAGACACAGCCAGGCCCACGCAGGAAACCAACCUGCAUCCCUGAGCACAGCUGUGCAUUCACACCGGCCCGCCCACCCGCCCGGGGCGCAGAAGGGCCCACUCCGGCCGUGCGUCCACAUGGUCCACGUUACGAUGUGGGGCUCUGCAGCAGGAAGAGGCUUUUCAGCUUCUCUACAGCUCCAAACUCAACUUUCACUCCAAUUUUCAAGUUGCCCCUUGGCCCUCAAAGUAGUCCUUUUGAGUGUGGUGAAAAAAGAUCUUGAACGAACAGGGCUGCAAAAUAGAGCUGUAAUGCUGAAGCGCAUCGCUAGGCGGCGGCUGCAGGAGACCAUGCGUGGCUGGCUCCUGUCGCCUCAAUGACACAACGCGGCCACCUUUCUCCCAAGGUGAGGGACACAUCCUGAGGACACCUCUAAGGUACGAGUCCAGUUUCAGGCCAUGACAUCGUGACUGUCUAGAUCUAUACAAUGUAUUUUUCACAUUAAGCAGUUUUAAAAUUAUGAUUUAAAGAACGCGUGGAUUGAGCAUGAUAAUUCACUUUAAAGAUUAAUGGGCGUUCUUUAAAUAGUUUCUGUCUUGUGUUUCUAAUAUGCAAGUCACAUUUGAUGUACACUGUCCUGUUCAAGUACUGAACUUUCACAUCAGCUAUAUUUGAGUUUAUCAAGUGUAUUUGGUAUCUCCUUGAACAUUUGGGAAAAUCUCACAAUGUUAGUGCCUCAUAAUAGCUCAUCAUCUCUAAUUUUGAAAUAUCUUUAAAAUUCUCUUCUAUCUCCCUCUUUGUUUGGCAUCAAUUUAUUCCUAUUUACACUUUCCUCUGGGAAAGAUUUAUGUAAUAUAAUACAUUAGAAGGCUACAUAAAUGACCUUUUAAAAAUAAGGCGUUUUUUAUUGUCAUAAUAUAAAAACUUGGGAUUUGUUUGCAAUGAGCCUUUCAAGGAAACAAGAAGAAGUACUAAUUAGAAAUGAAGUUAAAAAAGGGGGGCUUGGGAUUUAGCUCACUGGUUCCAUUGCCUGCCUCACAAGCACAAGGUCCCAAGUUCAAUCCCCGGAACCAAGGGAAAAAAAAAAGUGAAAAUCUAUAAUUACUCAAGGCAGUGAUCCUUUGCUUGUCCUAGUUAAUAGGAAGUGAUUUUCAAGGGGAAAGAUGAGCUUGCAGUCAUAGCUUAGAGCUAAAGGGCUUGGGGGUAAAGUGUACUGUUUUUCCAAUUUGCAGAAAUAAUCCAGUGUCUUUGAUAGAAUUUGUAUUUGUGUUGAGUCACGUUUGAAAGUGCCAGGGCAAGAGUGUGGACAGUGAGCUGAGCCAUCUCUUCCCUCCCAGGGCCUGCCCUUCCUUGAAGAAGCCCACGGCAGCUCCAUCAAGUCCAGGGAAUACAGGCCAGGGAGGAAGCCAGGCAGAUCUCGCACGGGCUCAGCUACUUGGACAGGAAAUAUUAAGACAGGUACCAAACAUGUGGUCUAGGAAUGCGUGUGUCCAUGGCAGGACAGACAGGAAGCUGCGGCCUUUCUUUUCUCUUAUUUAGUCCAGGCUACAAGCUUAUUAGUUGGUGCCAUUCACACCCGGGGUGGGUCUUCCAAGUUCAUUAAAUCCAUCACCCACACCCAGAACUACCCCAGACCAAUCAGUGGACUAAUCCAGUUACCACACACCCAUGAUUUAGCCACUCCCCAAAGGCCCACCCAUGAGAGUAUGUGGCUUUAGGGGGACAUCUAAAUAUAACCCAUAAUGGUGAGAAAUGGCUUAGAGCUAAUUCUAAAAGCAAACAGGAAAGAGUGCAUUAUUUGUAUUUUUGUUGUGAUCUUUAAAAAAACUUUAUCAUUUACAUAUUAUAAUGUUAACCCACUUAAUCUGUG
rnacentral:lncRNA from 1 species